CCCGACCAGACUGCAAGCCCCCCAGCCAGGGCUCAUCCUGGUUCACAGCUCUGUCCCGCAGGUCUACAGCGCCUCCCGGCUCAAGAGCUGCCCUGGCAUCUGGCUUUGACCUUAGGAUGGGCGUGACCUUAGGAUGGGCGUGACCUUGGGAAGCCGUGAGAUCUCCC
rnacentral:lncRNA from 1 species